AGAGUUUGAUCCUGGCUCAGGACGAACGCUGGCGGCGCGCCUAACACAUGCAAGUCGAACGGGGUUAUAGGAACAGCUUGCUGGGAAUAUAACUUAGUGGCGGACGGGUGAGUAACACGUGAGCAACCUGCCUUUCAGAGGGGAAUAACGUUUGGAAACGAACGCUAAUACCGCAUAACAUUGGGAUAUGGCAUCAUGACCCAAUCAAAGAUUUAUCGCUGAAAGAUGGGCUCGCGCCCGAUUAGGUAGUUGGUGAGAUAAUAGCCCACCAAGCCGACGAUCGGUAGCCGGACUGAGAGGUUGAACGGCCACAUUGGGACUGAGACACGGCCCAGACUCCUACGGGAGGCAGCAGUGGGGGAUAUUGCACAAUGGGGGGAACCCUGAUGCAGCGACGCCGCGUGAGGGAAGACGGUUUUCGGAUUGUAAACCUCUGUCUUUAGGGACGAAACAAAUGACGGUACCUAAAGAGGAAGCCACGGCUAACUACGUGCCAGCAGCCGCGGUAAUACGUAGGUGGCAAGCGUUGUCCGGAAUUACUGGGUGUAAAGGGAGCGUAGGCGGGAAUGCAAGUUGAAUGUUUAAACUAUGGGCUCAACCCAUAGUCGCGUUCAAAACUGCAUUUCUUGAGUGGAGUAGAGGCAGGCGGAAUUCCUAGUGUAGCGGUGAAAUGCGUAGAUAUUAGGAGGAACACCAGUGGCGAAGGCGGCCUGCUGGGCUCUAACUGACGCUGAGGCUCGAAAGCGUGGGUAGCAAACAGGAUUAGAUACCCUGGUAGUCCACGCCGUAAACGAUGAUUACUAGGUGUGGGGGGACUGACCCCUUCCGUGCCGGAGUUAACACAAUAAGUAAUCCACCUGGGGAGUACGACCGCAAGGUUGAAACUCAAAGGAAUUGACGGGGGCCCGCACAAGCAGUGGAGUAUGUGGUUUAAUUCGAAGCAACGCGAAGAACCUUACCAGGUCUUGACAUCGAGUGACGGAUACAGAGAUGUAUCCUUCCUUCGGGACACGAAGACAGGUGGUGCAUGGUUGUCGUCAGCUCGUGUCGUGAGAUGUUGGGUUAAGUCCCGCAACGAGCGCAACCCUUAUCAUUAGUUGCUACGCAAGAGCACUCUAGUGAGACUGCCGUGGAUAACACGGAGGAAGGUGGGGAUGACGUCAAAUCAUCAUGCCCUUUAUGACCUGGGCUACACACGUACUACAAUGGCACUCAAACAGAGGGAAGCGACACCGCGAGGUGAAGCAAAUCCCGAAAAAGUGUCUCAGUUCGGAUUGCAGGCUGCAACUCGCCUGCAUGAAGUCGGAAUUGCUAGUAAUCGCGGAUCAGCAUGCCGCGGUGAAUACGUUCCCGGGCCUUGUACACACCGCCCGUCACACCAUGAGAGCCGGUAACACCCGAAGUCAGUAGCCUAACCGCGAGGGGGGCGCUGCCGAAGGUGGGAUUGGUAAUUGGGGUGAAGUCGUAACAAGGUAACCAA
rnacentral:rRNA from 2 species